rnacentral:lncRNA from 1 species
GUAGGAGGACUGGGGAGGGGUCUGGGUCUGAGGAGCUAAACUUUAAGGACCUCUUAUUCCUCAGCAAUGGCAGUGCAAGGGUCAGGCCCCUCCCCUGGCAUCACUAACUACUGCCUCAUUUCUUCUCAUCUCUCAGUCCCAACUCCCUGUUGGAGCUGUCAGGGAGCAAUGGCCACCUGCUUCACACUUCUCCCUUUGCCCGACCCACAUCCUGUUUACCACGAAAAUGUGGCUUCCAGAAGAGGUGACCUCAAGUCAAGUGGUGGAGCGGAGACCAGAACCGUGUCAGUUUCUGCCUGUGCCCAGCUCACCCUCCACAAAAAGACCUAUGGAGCCGUCUCCGAUCCCCCCACAUAAAGGCCACCCCUGUGUUCCUUCCUAUUCUGCAUCCUUGGUCUGGAAUGUAUUCACUUUGCUAGUUAUGGCCUGGGUUGUGCCCUAUCCUCUUGUGCCCUCAGAUGGCAGAGGUGGCUGUAAUUGCAGAUAAAGUCAGAAAAGAGCUCAUGCAGUUUACAGGUCUUUAAGGUGGUGCUCAGUCCACGUAACUGAUAUCCUUAUAAAGAGAGGGAGCUGGGACACAGGGAGGAACCACAGAACCACACACAGAGAUCCGUGUGAAAGCCAGCCACUUUCAAGGUAAGAGGCUCAGAAGAGAUGAGCCUGGCAACACCGUGAACUCUAACUCCUAGCCUUCAGAAUCAGAGACAGCAGAUUUCUGAUGUGUAAGCCACUUGUUCCAUGGAAUUUACUAUACAGUCUUGUAAAAAGUGUUUUUCCCCCCUAUUUUUUUGCUACUCUUUGAUAUAGGGUCUCACUAAGUAGCCAUAAUCCUCCUGCCUCAACCUCCUGGGUGUCAGGGUUAUAUACGUACCACCAUGCCUCACUUUCAUUGCUCUAGUCUUUUGUGUUUGUUGUUGUUAUUGUUGUUUUCUGUUCAUGUUUCGUUUCUGUUGUUUUGUGGACAGGGCCUUACUCUAUAGCUCUGGUUGGUCUGAAGUUUGAUUCCUACAAAGGCAAUCGCUACACAGACUAGGCAGGACUUAAACUUGUGGCCCUCAUUUUGGAUUAUGGGCAUGUGCCCUCAUUCCCUACAACCUAAUCUUAAUAAGUUAAUCACAUGCUUCUACAGGAAUGUUAACAAGAAAAGUCUCAAAGAAGGAAAAAUGACAAGCC